rnacentral:tRNA from 1 species
CAGAGGGUAGUCUAAUUUAGGAUCUCGGCUUUGGGGGUCGAGGGUGAGAGUUAAAUUCUCUUCUUUUUGA